AAAUUGAAGAGUUUGAUCAUGGCUCAGAUUGAACGCUGGCGGCAGGCCUAACACAUGCAAGUCGAACGGUAACAGGAAGCAGCUUGCUGCUUUGCUGACGAGUGGCGGACGGGUGAGUAAUGUCUGGGAAACUGCCUGAUGGAGGGGGAUAACUACUGGAAACGGUAGCUAAUACCGCAUAACGUCGCAAGACCAAAGAGGGGGACCUUCGGGCCUCUUGCCAUCGGAUGCGCCCAGAUGGGAUUAGCUAGUAGGUGGGGUAACGGCUCACCUAGGCGACGAUCCCUAGCUGGUCUGAGAGGAUGACCAGCCACACUGGAACUGAGACACGGUCCAGACUCCUACGGGAGGCAGCAGUGGGGAAUAUUGCACAAUGGGCGCAAGCCUGAUGCAGCCAUGCCGCGUGUAUGAAGAAGGCCUUCGGGUUGUAAAGUACUUUCAGCGGGGAGGAAGGGAGUAAAGUUAAUACCUUUGCUCAUUGACGUUACCCGCAGAAGAAGCACCGGCUAACUCCGUGCCAGCAGCCGCGGUAAUACGGAGGGUGCAAGCGUUAAUCGGAAUUACUGGGCGUAAAGCGCACGCAGGCGGUUUGUUAAGUCAGAUGUGAAAUCCCCGGGCUCAACCUGGGAACUGCAUCUGAUACUGGCAAGCUUGAGUCUCGUAGAGGGGGGUAGAAUUCCAGGUGUAGCGGUGAAAUGCGUAGAGAUCUGGAGGAAUACCGGUGGCGAAGGCGGCCCCCUGGACGAAGACUGACGCUCAGGUGCGAAAGCGUGGGGAGCAAACAGGAUUAGAUACCCUGGUAGUCCACGCCGUAAACGAUGUCGACUUGGAGGUUGUGCCCUUGAGGCGUGGCUUCCGGAGCUAACGCGUUAAGUCGACCGCCUGGGGAGUACGGCCGCAAGGUUAAAACUCAAAUGAAUUGACGGGGGCCCGCACAAGCGGUGGAGCAUGUGGUUUAAUUCGAUGCAACGCGAAGAACCUUACCUGGUCUUGACAUCCACGGAAGUUUUCAGAGAUGAGAAUGUGCCUUCGGGAACCGUGAGACAGGUGCUGCAUGGCUGUCGUCAGCUCGUGUUGUGAAAUGUUGGGUUAAGUCCCGCAACGAGCGCAACCCUUAUCCUUUGUUGCCAGCGGUCCGGCCGGGAACUCAAAGGAGACUGCCAGUGAUAAACUGGAGGAAGGUGGGGAUGACGUCAAGUCAUCAUGGCCCUUACGACCAGGGCUACACACGUGCUACAAUGGCGCAUACAAAGAGAAGCGACCUCGCGAGAGCAAGCGGACCUCAUAAAGUGCGUCGUAGUCCGGAUUGGAGUCUGCAACUCGACUCCAUGAAGUCGGAAUCGCUAGUAAUCGUGGAUCAGAAUGCCACGGUGAAUACGUUCCCGGGCCUUGUACACACCGCCCGUCACACCAUGGGAGUGGGUUGCAAAAGAAGUAGGUAGCUUAACCUUCGGGAGGGCGCUUACCACUUUGUGAUUCAUGACUGGGGUGAAGUCGUAACAAGGUAACCGUAGGGGAACCUGCGGUUGGAUCACCUCCUUA
rnacentral:rRNA from 1 species